rnacentral:rRNA from 1 species
AGUGAACGCUGGCGGUAGGCCUAACACAUGCAAGUCGAACGGCAGCACAGUAAGAGCUUGCUCUUACGGGUGGCGAGUGGCGGACGGGUGAGGAAUACAUCGGAAUCUACUUUUUCGUGGGGGAUAACGUAGGGAGACUUACGCUAAUACCGCAUACGACCUACGGGUGAAAGCAGGGGAUCCUCGGACCUUGCGCGAUUGAAUGAGCCGAUGUCGGAUUAGCUAGUUGGCGGGGUAAAGGCCCACCAAGGCGACGAUCCGUAGCUGGUCUGAGAGGAUGAUCAGCCACACUGGAACUGAGACACGGUCCAGACUCCUACGGGAGGCAGCAGUGGGGAAUAUUGGACAAUGGGCGCAAGCCUGAUCCAGCCAUACCGCGUGGGUGAAGAAGGCCUUCGGGUUGUAAAGCCCUUUUGUUGGGAAAGAAAAGCAGCAGGUUAAUACCCCGCUGUUCUGACGGUACCCAAAGAAUAAGCACCGGCUAACUUCGUG